rnacentral:rRNA from 1 species
UACGGGGGGGGCAAGCGUUGUUCGGAAUUACUGGGCGUAAAGGGCUCGUAGGUGGCCAACUAAGUCAGUCGUGAAAUCCCUCAGCUUAACUGGGGAACUGCGUCUGAUACUGGAUGGCUUGAGUUCGGGAGAGGGAUGCGGAAUUCCAGGUGUAGCGGUGAAAUGCGUAGAUAUCUGGAGGAACACCGGUGGCGAAGGCGGCAUCCUGGACCGACACUGACGCUGAGGAGCGAAAGCCAGGGGAGCAAACGGG